rnacentral:rRNA from 1 species
AUGCAGGCAGGAGUCGGUCUACUUGUCUCGGACGUGAUGCCUAUAUACAUGAUCAUACCGAGAUAUUCUCAUAACUAUGCUCAAUUCUGUCAAUUGCUCAACAGUAAUUCGUUCACCCACCGUAAAAUACUUAUGCUUUUGAGAGAAGCCACUAGUGAAACCUAUGGCCCCCGGGUCUAUCUUCAUCAUAUUAAUCUUCCAACACUUUGUUAUUGCCUUUGCUUUUAUUUUACUUUGCAUCUUUAUCAUAAAAAUACCAAAAAUAUUAUCCUAUCAUAUCUAUCAGAUCUCACUCUCGUAAGUGACCGUGAAGGGAUUGACAACCCCUUAUCGCGUUGGUUGCGAGGAUUUAUUUGUAUUGUGCAGGUGCGAGGGACUCGCGCGUAG